rnacentral:tRNA from 2 species
GUUUCUGUAGUGUAGUGGUUAUCACGUUCGCCUCACAGGCGAAAGGUCCCCAGUUCGAAACUGGGCGGAAACA